rnacentral:lncRNA from 1 species
UAUAUGUAAGCUACCCAUGAAGGGUAUAGGUCUAAAUUUAGGAGCGUAGAAGGUGGAGAACCAGUGUUGUGUUUAAAUACUAUCACUUUAAUUGGUAUUUAGAUUCAAUGUAGUCUGAGUCGUUACUUCAGUCAAAUUUGAUUAACCUACAUCACAUAUUAAUAGUGGUGCAGUUUGUUUCAAGUCGAUUGCUUUGCUGUUAAUGAGACGUUAGAACAAGUUUUCAUGCCAAUUGCAGUUUGUUUAACUUGUAGCAAUCAAAACGUUUGGCGUUUGAACAAUUGCUUCAUGAAUAUUACUUUAUUUCCCGCGUACCCUAUAACAUCUUUAAUAUCAUAACGUUGUUCUUUUUUUCUUAGGCUACGUAUACGUUUGGUAAGCAAACAUAUGAAUUGAUGGCAGAUGAUUUCUCAUUCCUUUUCUUAGGGGAUGAGAAAUGGAAAUUUUCUUUCCUAUGUUUGGCAGUGAGAGGGAAGAAACAAGGAAAUACCCUUUUUUAUAUAUUAGGUAUUAAUUUUUACUUAUGAAUGAGGGUAGGUUUGUCAUAGAAGAAAGUAAGUAAUCCUUAAGUUGGUUUCCCAUGAGAUGGAAAUUAUUUCCCAAUGUUGGAUAUGUCGAUGUAAAUUUUCGCCAUCUUCACCCUUGGCAAAAAUGUACUUACAAAACAAUCAACAGCUUUGAUCAAAGACCUAAGCCUCAUGAGCCCACGAGAUGGGAGGUUAGGCCAAUGGAUCUCCAAUACCUAAGUUAGUUUCUCUGAAAAGAGUAAGUCUUUAGGACUUCUAGGGGUAGCAAAAGCUUAUCGAAAUUUGGUAAAGAUUGAGGUAUUUAUAAGAGGAGGGGCCGGCCAUGGUGUUAGGGUUUUACCCUACUGUAAACACGGAAAUUCCUGAAACAAAUGAAACAAGAACAAGUGUACAAAAUAAUAUUUUGGAUUAAUGAUUUUGGGUUACAAUCUCUUUAUAGUUUGAUCCUCUGAUUCAAUCUCCGUAAGAUGUAGACUUGUGGAUAUUUUGUUGAUCCAAGGGCCGUCAAGGCUUGAUCUUGGGUGAACGGUUGGGAGUUUUUUUCAAGGGCCUUAAGGGCUUAAUCUUGAAGGUUAAGGGAAGUUUCUUCAAGGGCCUUCGGGGGCUUGAUCUUGAAGGUUGAUGGAUGAAUGGAUCUUCAAGGGUUUUUGGGCUUGAUCUUGAAGAACGGGGAUGAAUGAAUCUUCAAAGGUUUUGGGCUUGAUCUUGAAGAAUGGAUGUGUGGAUUUGUUGAUGUUGUUGAUCCAAAGGGUCGUUGGGGCUUGAUCAUAGAAUGAACGGAUGAUGAACGAUGAGCACUUUCUUCAAGGGCUGUUGGGGUUUGAUCUUGAAUUGGUGGAAGUUCUUCAAGGGCCGUUAGGGCUUGAUCUUGAAAGAGGAUUUGACGAAGAACGAAGAGAGAUUUCUUGAUCCUUCGGGAUUUGCUUGGGAGCUUUAGAGUUUCAAAGCUUCAAGGUUUUAGUGUGAUGUGAAUUGGUGAAUCAAAAUGAAUGUCUUGGCUUCCUAUUUAUAGAAUUCCAAAACUUGAUUUUUGGAUUUAAAUAAUCAGAUGAAAUAAAUCAUUUCUGCUAGGUGUUGACACAUGUCAUAUUUAAUGACUUGUCCGAUGAUUUUCGAUUUUUUGUUGAGUCACAUGCUACGUGUAAAAUUUAUGUGACACGUGAAAACUGAAAUUUUAAUAAUUGGUCAACAUUUAUUUCAUCGAAAUUUCGAUGUCUACAAAUUCCCCCACUUCAAGGAGCGUCGUAUACAUGUACUUGUCAUAUGUAGAAGAUGCGUUUUGAAGUCCCUUAAUGUAGAUGUUGAUCCAAGGGUCGUUAAGGCUUGAUCUUGAAUUGGGCUGGUAAUUUCUUCAAGGGUCAUGGAGGCUUGAUCUUGAAUUGAGCUGAAAGUUUUCUUCAAGUGUCGUGGAGCCUUGUUCUUGAAUUUUGUUUGAAAUUUCUUCAAGGGCCAUCGAGGCUUGAUCUUAAAUUAAAUUGGACCACAAGGAGCUUCACAUGGUAGAUGAUCUUUGGCUUUGGCAGUGGAUGAAUCGGCACGUAUUUUGUUGCGCUUGUUGACUUUCCAGCUUUGAUCUUGAACUGGGUUGGAGGAUUUUCUGGUUUCCUCCAAUUGUUGACUUUUCCACAGGCUUAUUCUUGAAUUGGGCUGGAGAUCUAAGCAAGGAAGAGUAGAGUUCCUUGGUGAUGGUGGUGAUUUGAUGGCGUUGCACGGCGAGGCUUUGCUUUUCGGUGACGGUGCCAUUGAAAGGUCGUUGAAGCUUCUCGAGCUCAUUGAUUAGAACAACAAGGCUGAGCUUGGAUUUGACUUAGACUCCUCCGUCUAGGUUAUGCAACUAUGCAGGGAAAGGUGUCUUGCUAUAGUGAUCUGUUACAGCUCACCAUGCUGCAUUUUUCUCUGCUUGUUUCUUUUGCAUGGCAGAAGUGGUGUGCAACCUUUUACCUUUAAAUGGUGAUUCAGAGCAUCACUUAUCAGCGACUCAUCCAUGCUUGGUAGCUUCAAUGUAAAGAGUCAACAUCAUAUCAACUGUUCUGAAGUAUUCGCUGAGGAAACUCGAGACUUAUUAACAGUUGAAGACGAGCACUCAAGAGUAAUGCUAGGUAAGCAACCAUGCAAAGGUUCUGGGCAAUCAGUUCCAGAUUGGAAAUUUUAUUUCAGGUUCCAACUGAUUGCUUUCUUUCUCCUUAUCUUGCAGGUAAAAGCAACGGUAAAGGAAAAGACAGGGAAAAAACAUGCCAUGAGAUAUCUUUACUUUUGACCCUGAUGAUAUGAGAUACUUUUGCUUUUGAAGAAGUAGUUUUCCAUAUGUUUAAUCUUGAAUCGGGCUUGGGGGUUUCUUCUGCCAAACUUCAACCAAAUGUCUGAAUUUACUCAUUUUAUCUAGAGCUGAACUUGAUUCAAUAGUGGUGGACACUUGAUCUUGAAUAGGACUUGUGAUUUCUUCAAGAGCUGUCGAGGCUUGUUCUUGAAUGGAAUGGGACCACGAGUAACUCCAUGUGGCAAGUGAUUUUCUGUCCCAUCAGGGAUGAAUUGGCACGUGUAGUUCUCCACACCUUAGCAAACCGACUUAAGAACUCGAGGGUUAAAACAAGUCCAUCAAAUCUAGAGUACUUUCGACCCUGAUGAUAUGAGAUACUUUUGCUUUUGAAGA